rnacentral:rRNA from 1 species
GACGAACGCUGGCGGCGUGCUUAACACAUGCAAGUCGAACGGAAAGGCCCUGCUCUUGUGGGGUGCUCGAGUGGCGAACGGGUGAGUAACACGUGAGUAUCCUGCCCUUGACUUUGGGAUAACUUCAGGAAACUGGGGCUAAUACCGGAUAGGAGCUCCUGCUGAAUGGUGGGGGUUGGAAAGUUUCGGCGGUUGGGGAUGGACUCGCGGCUUAUCAGCUUGUUGGUGGGGUAGUGGCUUACCAAGCCUUUGACGGGUAGCCGACCUGUGAGGGUGACCGGCCACAUUGGGACUACGGUACGGCCCAGACUCCAACGGGAGGCAGCAGUGGGGAGUAUUACACAAUGGGCGGCAGCCUGAUACAGCGGCGCCGCGUGCGGAAUGACGGCCUUCGGGUGGUGAACCGCUUUCGCCUGUGACGUGGCGUGAGUGACGGUAAUGAGUAAAGAAGCACCGGCUAACUACGUG